CAUAAGCCCUUUUGUCAAUGAUUAUGGGUUAUUGUGGAUCAUAGAAGAUGCGCUCUUUGGAAGACAUUCCUGAUUGACAGGACAAGCAGGCUGGUUCACUGGUUAUGAUUUUAUUUCAUUUCGGACGAGACAAAUAGUAAAGGUCUUUGCAUUCGAUGGAAGGAUGGUCCAGCCAUCCGUUUGAUUGGAAACCACGAGCAUAAGAACUGCUAAGACCAAAAUAGGAGCUCUGAGACUUGAGCUGAUAAAUCAUGGCCCACACGCCAUUAUAUUACAAUGCAAUUCCAGAGGUAUUGCCAAAGGAGGAAAUUAGUGCCAGGAUGAAUCUGAUGCAUACAUUAUGAGGAGCAAAUUGCAAGUCUCCCAACCAUUCCUCCCUGGGGCUGAUAACACUGUCACCUGGCCAUGGCAUGGCCACAUCUGUCCACACCCUGAGAUAGUGCGGACCUACAAUUUAGAGACAACGGUGUGUUCUUCUUGGCCUGGUCAAUGCAAUUUCACGAGACUAGUUACAAGUUAAAAGUUUUACUCGGAUAUGUGCAGAAUUGUGCUGGGAGAGAAUGCCCAGACUGGAAUCGAUCCAGCCUGAAUAUGUAUAAGUUUACCUAGGUUUCUACUUGCUAUGGAGGGAGAGUUCAGGGUGUAUGAACUCUACGACUCUGCGGUCUGCGCACAUUUAUUUGGUGUACAAUUACGAAUGUUUGGGAUUGGUUGGAAUCAUGUUGAUCAGGGAUACAUUCAGGAAACCAAUAGCCGUCUAGUUCUAUUCCGUCAAAUGCAUUUUAAUCUUGUUGUUGCCGAGUGAUUGGAUCAGCAGAUUUUUGCCUAAUUUCAGCGUGGCUCUUCUUUGUUCAAGCUGUAAGAAAGCCGAGAUGCAAAA